rnacentral:lncRNA from 9 species
UGUACAUAUCAGCUGAUGAGUGCGUGUAGAAUUUUAUCUACAGCAAUUUUUUUCAAAUAUUUAAUAGUAAGAAAUUGAUUGUACCUUUAGCCACACAUAUAUAUCUGAAACAAAAAUUUCUUGAAAUAUUCGUUAUUUUUUUACAGGAGUUAAGCACUCUGAUUUUUUUCUUUAUUCUUUUUUGAAGUUGUGAUAGAGAUAUAACAGCCAUUGUUUAAAAAAAAAAAAAAAAGAAGAAGAAGAAAAAACAACAGGUCCAAGGUGGAGCACUAGACCCCAGGACAGCACACCAAGACUUAUUCGCAGUUUCACCCUCUCUCAAGAACAGAAUUCCCGGAAUUUCUCGAUCUGCACGAGCGAGGUAACCUUACCUGAAACAAUCCUUUCUUUUUCUUUACUCAUAUAAACUCCUUUCUCCGCCCUCAUUUCUAUGAAACCUUUCCAUUUUGUACCACUGAACGGGUGCCUUUCUAAUUCCGGGAUGGGAUGCGGCCUGAUUCAUGAAACAUUGAAUAAAGCCAACUUCAAGUUAACUUGGUGGAAUUUUGUUUUUUAACACCAUUUUUAAGUGUUUAACUUGACUUAAUAUAUGUUUCACUGAAAUAACUCCCCAACAAUCAAUGGAUUCCAACCCAUUUUUAGAUUUUGGCCAGACCAUUUUCAAGUAAGGGGCCAACAUUGUGGCUCUUCACCCCACACAAUAAGAGUAUGAGCUAGGAGGCAGAUGAACACAGUAAACAUGUAUGUGAAAAGGCAGUCCGUGCCAUGGUAAAAAUAGCAGGACUCAAAGAUAAGAAUGUGUGGGUAGAGAUUUGUUGCCAUUUUAAAUAGGGGUGGUCAGAGUAGAGAUUUGCAAGAGCUGUGGCCACCUUGAGGAAAACAUUCCAUGUGGAGGGAACAGCCAGAGCAGAGGUGUUAGGGCAGGAACUUGGUGUUGAAGAACAGCAAGGAAGCCCGUGUGGCUGGAGCCACGUGAGCAGAUUUGUAAGUUAAAGGGAAUGAGAUGAGGAAGUUUCAUUUAUGUGAAGCCUUACAAAGACUUUUACUCUAAGUAAAAUGGGGAGUCAUUUUGAGCAGGAAAGUGAUAGGAUUAAUUUAUAUUUCAUAAGAGUCACUGGAACUUCUUUGUUGAGAUUAGACUAGUGAAAGCCACAAGACCAGUGAGUGAGGAGGCUAUUGCUAUAAGCUAAGCAGGCAGGAUGUGGUGGCUCAGACCAGGAUGGGUAGCAGUGGAAAGUCUGAAGAGUGGACAGAUUCUGGAUGUGACUUGGAAGUAAACCAACAGGAUUUUCCGAAGGAUAGGAUAUGGAGUCUGAGGAAGAGAAGAGUCAAAGAUGAUUCCAGGAGUUCUCGUCAUGGCUUAGCGGAAACGAAUACAACUAGGAACCAUGAGGUUACAGGUUCAAUCCCCGGCCUUGCUCAGUGGGUUAAGGAUCCAGCAUUGCCUCGAGCUGUGGUAUAGAUUGCAGACGUGGUUUGGAUCUGGCAUUGCUGUGGCUCCGGCGUAGGCCGGCAGCUACAGCUACAAUUAGACCCCUAGCCUGGGAACCUCUAUAUGCCACAAAUGUGGCCCUAAAAAGACAAAAAAAAAAAAAAAAAAAAAAAAAAAUUCCAGAAUUGCUGGCCUGAGCAACUAGAAGGAUAAAGUUGGCAUUCAUAGAAUGAUUGGGGCAAAAAUUUGCUUGGAGUGUAUUUGAAUGGGUUUGAAAGAGACUGAGAGGAAAGGAAUUGACAAUGACAAGAUCAAGCAGAGACAACUGUAGUACUUUCAGUAGACAGGGGCAAAUAAAUGGAGAGUUAACUCCCAGGGGAAAUAGAGACAAGAGAAAGUUAAGGUUUUAAACUAAAAUAGUAACAUAUUUGGAAAAGAGCAUUUUGUUUUUAUAGUCACCUGGUACUACCAACUUAAGACCAUUUUAAAUUCUCUGCUUGAGGUUUUUCAGAAUGCAGCAUGAAUUGGGGCCAUGAAUCUUUUUGUUAGUAGCUAAAUAUUUGUAAAAGUGUAUUCCAAAGGAAUUUUUAAAGAACCAGUAAUCCUUAAUACAUAAAAGUAUAAAAGAAAACACUUAAAUGACAUCUUUUUUUUUUUUGGUCUUUUUAGUCCUACACCCACAGCAUAUGGAGGUUACCAGGCUAGGGGUCGAAUAGGAGCUGUAGCUGCCAACCUACGCCACGGCCACAGCAUCGUGGGAUCCAAGCCACAUCUUCAACCUGCACCACAGCUCUUGGCAACUCCAGAUCCUUAACCCACUGAGCAAGGCCAGGGAUCGAACCCACAACCUCAUGGUUACUAGUCGAAUUUGUUAACCACUGAGCCAUGACAAGAACUCCCUUAAAUGACAUCUUAUUGUAAAAGUGGCCUACAUAAAAUAUAAAAAGUAAUCACUAUAUCCAUAUGUUGUUCAGAGUAAUUUAAAUGUGUGUCUGUUAAAGCAGUAUUUUCCCCUCAAUUAGAGAAGGUAAUAUUUCUUAUAGUUAUUUAGUGACACAUUUUUAAUUCUUUUACAUUCAAAAGGGCAUUUGAAUAAUUAAAAUUUGAUCUUUUAAAGCCACAAAAAGGGAUUUAAUUGCCUACUCAUGUAAUAUUUGUUCAUAAACCUUAUACCAAUCAAAGCUAUCUCCUAUAGGUAUGGUUGUCCAUAACUGAAAAGCAUAAUGAAGUCUGUCAGUCUCAUAGUCACCCUUACAUCCUGAAAAAGCACACUUUAUGGUAAUCUGCCAGCAGCACGUUAUGAUUUACAUAAUUAAGGAAUCCCUCAUAAUAAGCCCUGUUUAAAUAGUUUGGUGUCUAAAAUGAAAUCCAAAAGCAUAUACUAGAGCUCUGAAUAUGAACAUUUUAUUGUUUGGGAGUAUAAGAUGGUAUUUUAUUCUUUGUUGAUAUAAAAUGUCAUUAGUAUAAGUCUGUACCUAAGUCAUUGAAAGAAAGCAUAAUACUUCUAUUAUUUAUCUAUUGAUGCAUGAUAAAUGAUUCCAAAAUUUAAUGGCUAAGACACUAUAAAUGUUUAUUAUCUUACAGUUUCUGUAGGUCAGAAAUUUAACAGCCACUUGGCUCUGUGCAUCUGGCCAGAGAUCUCCUGAGGUUGCAGUCAUCAAAGGCUUAGCUAGGGCUGGAGGAUCUGUUUCCAAGAUCCUUAGUUUGAAAUUCUAAGAUGAACUCAGCGGUGCUUGAAGUUGACAGAAGGCUUCAGUUCCCCAUGUGAGCCUCUCCGCCAGGCUGCAUGAGCAUUCUCCCAACAUGGCCAGCCUUCCCCAGAAAGAGCAAGGUAGAAGCUUCAAUGGCUUUUAUGGCCUAGCCACAGAAGUGAGACGCCAUCUCAGCAAUAUCCUGUUGAUUACAAAGGGCAGUCCUAUUCAUUGUGAGAAGGGACCACACCAUCCCAUAGGUGCAAGGAGGCCAGUAUAAUUGGGGGGCUACUUUGGAAGCUAUCUACCACAGUCCUAUAACAUAUCUGCAGAUUUCUCUUGUUACUUAAAAUGUACUGACUAACGGAUCACAACUAAGGAAUGAUUUAUUUAAGAGUUACUUGACUAUAAUUUCCACAGUACAGUUUAAGGAAACACUAAUGCUCAUGUGUUUUUACAAACUUAUAUUUGCCUUGAAUGACACAUUUUCAUAGAAGACAGCCACAGAAUUUAAACAUAAAACUAGGUCUUCCAGAUGCACAGGGCUCCUCAGGACCUGAGACUGGGUUCCUCCCUGGCUUCCCAGGAUGUUGGAAGCCUUUGUACCACACUGGCUGAAAGGCAGGGCAGAAAUCAAUCAAAAUGAUCCAGUGGGUCCUAGAGAAGAAUGACCAGCUGAUCUGCUGUAUCCCUGGUGAAUGAGUGUACCUAGUACCAUCAUAUGUUAGGCUGAAAUCUCGUUUAUUUGGGACCAUCAUAGAUGCCAGCCCAAUAAUCUUCAGGUUGUCUGUUGAGAGGAGUAAUUGAAUGUAAUUCAUUUCCUAUGAAGUAGAGACAGGAUCUUUACCAUCUCAACUGCUUAAACGUGAAUGAAACUUCUGUGACUCUUAAUAUUGUGAAGAAGGCUACUAAAUUAACUCUAUUCUCAAUGCAAAUAUUUAUUUUAAUACUUAAGGACAGUCCUAAAAAAAAAGAAAAA